UCAGUGUGAACUGACUGAACUCAGCGCUGGAAACUAGGGGAAAGGUUAGGUCGCGCCGGGCUGUGUUCACCCACCGCCGCUGCUGCUGCUGUUGCUGUUGCUGUUGCAGCAGCUGUUAUGUCAACAUCAAGAGGUCUAAGGAGGAGAGGGGGGGAGGAAGAUACCCACCCAUCUGGAAACUGUUUUUCUCUGAAAGGAUGAAGUCAGCAUUUUGGUUUCUUCUUGGCUUUUGAAAAUGCAACUUCAUCUCUGUUACUUGAAGGAGCUGACCUGUACAAAAUGGAAAGAAAAUGUAAACACUUAUUUCCUAUUCAACCCAAGGCUGACUUUAUUAUUAUUUUUUUAAUUAACAAAUUCUCGCCGGAGGAAUUAUGUUCCUUUGGAAAACUUGCACGAAUGCCUCGGAAUAUGGACUAAAACAGAAAAUGCUGAAGAAACGGACUGGAAACGUUAACUCUUGUUUCUCUUUCCACAGAUGCUGCCAGACCUGCUGGGCUUUUCCAGCAUUUUCUGUUUUUAUUUCAGAUUUCCAGCACGCGAAGUAUUUAGCUUUCAUGGACGUAUGCCUAAUUGCUACCCUGUAAAGGUUCCCGGAUUAUUUGCUUUGCUUUCUCCUCUCCGCUGCCCCAUUUUCCAUGCACUGUUCUACAAAUCUUGACAAGCUAGGUGAGACAGAAAGCCAUCUCCACCCUUUCGUCCCAGGGCACAGUGAUUUGACUUGAUCGAAGUUUUCAUGCUGUUAAAGGGGAACUGGCCGGGCUGCUAGAGAGAAACCCAUUUCACUUGGUGGAGGACUCAAGGGCAACAGGAUCUAGUCUAAAAAUUAGAUCAAGGCGUAGGAGUGAAGUUAGGAAACAUACAAAGGGUGAUAGAAAUUUGAAACUGUCAAAUGAUUCACAGAAUCUGUCUGCACCAGCUCUCCAAAUGAGUAAGUCACCUAGUGCCAUUCCCCCGCCUCCUCCCUGUGACCCAGCACUUUCUUCCUUUAUAGGUAACAAUCUAAUUCCCCUUUCGAAUGCCUCGAUUGAACCUGCUUCCAUCAUACUCUCAGGCAGUGCAUUCCAGACCCCGACCUCUCACUGUGUGGAAAAGUGUUUCCUCGUGUCGCUUUUGCUUCUUUUUCCAAUUACUUUAAACCUGUGCCCUCUCGUUCUCAAACCUUUCACAAGUGGGAACAGUUUCUCCCUGUCUGCCCUGCCCAGAACCCUCAUGGCUUUGAAUACCUCUAUCAAAUCUCCUCUCAGGCUUCUCCAAGGAUAACAAUCCCAGCUUCUCCAAUCUAUCUUUGUAACUGAAGUUCCUCAUCCCUGGAACCAUUUUCAUUCAUCUUUUCUGCAUUCCCUCAAUGCCUUACAACUUUCCUAAUGUGUGGCACCCAGAACUGGAUGCAAUACUCCAGCUUAGGCCUAACUCAUGUUUUAUACCAGUUCAACAGGACCUCCUCAUUCUUGUACUCUAUGCCCCUAUUAAUAAAGCCUAGGAUACUGUAUGGUUUAUUGACUGCUCUUCCAACUUGCUCUGACACUGUCAAUGACUUAUGCACAAAUACACCCUGUUUUCUCUGUUCCUGCACCCCUUUAGAGCUGUAUCCUUUAUAUUGUUUCUCCUUGUUCUACCAAAUUAAAUCACUUUGCACUUCUUUGUGUUGAACUUCACCUGCUACUUGUCCACCCAUUCUAUCAACUUGUCUAUGUCCUUUUGAAGUUCUACACUAUCCUCCUCAUGUUUUGGAAGUUUCUUUUCAUCCACAAAUUUUGAAAUUGUGCCCUGUACACCAAGAUCUAAGUUAUUAGUAUAUAUCAGGAAGAGCAAGGGUCCCAAAACUAACUCCUGGGGAACUCCACUACAAGCCUUCCUCUAGUCUGAAAAAUAUCCAUUAACAAUGACUGUUUCCUGUCACUCAGCCAAUUUCGUAUUCAUGUCGCUACUUUCCUUUUAUUCCAUGAGCUAUAACUUUGCUCACAAGUCUGUUGUGUGGUACUUUAUCAACAGCACAUCACAAUUACUCUUAUCAACCCUCUCCGGUUAGCUCUUCUUAAAGACUCCAGUAAAUUAGUUAAACAUGAUUCUCUCUUAACAAAUCCAUGCUGGCUUUCCUUAAUUAAUCCACGUUUGUCCAUGUUACUAUUAAUUUUGUCCUGAAUUAUUGUUUCUAGAAAUUUCUCCACCACUGAAGUUAAACUGGCUGGCCUGUAAUUGCUGGGCUUAUCUUUACACCCUUUUUUGAACAAGGGUUUAACAUUUGCAAUUCUCCAGCCCUCUGGCAUCAUCCAGUCUAAAGAAGACUGGAAAAUUAUGGCCAGUACCUCUGCAAUUUCCACUCACUUCCCUCAGUAUCCUUGGAUGCAUCUCACCCAGUCCUGGUGCCUUAUCAACUUUAAAUACAAACAGCCUAUUAUCAUGACAGCUGAUUAUAGCCAUGAGUAUGGACAUAUUGAACUGUUUAAGUAAGACAUGUUUUUUCAGUAGGACCAACAGGCAAAAACUGGCUGUGUCAGUAAAGUAACCACUUGCUGGAAAAUUCCUAUGUGGAUUACACUUGACCAACUAGUCCAGAGAAUGGAAUGUCGCACCUAAAAAGGGGCCAAGGCCUCCUUCAGACAGAGACACUUCAAAGGAAAAGAUGCAAUGCAAAAACUGAACUUAAAUCUCCUGUGGUUGUGGAGAUAAUGAAGGCUGAAUACCAUUUUAGCAGAAACUAUCACAUGAAUACACAAGAGAAGGGAAAAAAACACAAAAAAGCCAACAAAAAUCCUGGUUACAUGUGUUAGCUUUGGUGUUCCAGGCUUGGUGUGCAAGGGUGUGCUGUGAGGGUCACAGCUGAAGAACAUCAACUAGGCAUCCCUACGCUUGCAGGUAGAAAGGUCCUCUCUGAUUGCUGGAAAUAAGUCACAAGACAGCAAAGGCACAGUCAAAAAGGAAACAGGACAACUCCUUUCAGCUAACCUGCAGAACCAAGAAUCUCGAAAUCAGCUGCUCAACUACCAAAGUCAGCUCUACCGGAAUCAUCCAACUUAACUGCUGCAACGCUUCAUCAUCUACUCCUCACAGACUGGCCAAAGACUGAUUCGUAUAUCUUUUUAACUUUUAUUUCUGGACUCACUUCUCAUUUUUAAUCUGUGUAUAUGUGUGUUACAUUUUUAUUUAUUUUUCUUACAAUUUAGUAACUAAUAAACUCGCUCUUUCUUUAA